rnacentral:rRNA from 1 species
GAGGGAUAACGGCUGGAAACGGCCGCUAAUACCCCAUAUGCCGAGAGGUGAAACGAAUUUCGCCUGAGGAUGAGCCCGCGUCUGAUUAGCUAGUUGGUGGGGUAACGGCCCACCAAGGCGACGAUCAGUAGCUGGUCUGAGAGGAUGAUCAGCCACACUGGGACUGAGACACGGCCCAGACUCCUACGGGAGGCAGCAGUGGGGAAUUUUCCGCAAUGGGCGAAAGCCUGACGGAGCAACGCCGCGUGAGGGAUGAAGGCCUCUGGGCUGUAAACCUCUUUUCUCAAGGAAGAAGACCUGACGGUACUUGAGGAAUAAGCCACGGCUAAUUCCGUGCCAGCAGCCGCGGUAAUACGGGAGUGGCAAGCGUUAUCCGGAAUUAUUGGGCGUAAAGCGUCCGCAGGCGGCCUUGUAAGUCUGUUGUUAAAGCGUGGAGCUUAACUCCAUUUAAGCAAUGGAAACUACAAGGCUGGAGUGUGGUAGGGGCAGAGGGAAUUCCCGGUGUAGCGGUGAAAUGCGUAGAUAUCGGGAAGAACACCAGUGGCGAAGGCGCUCUGCUGGGCCAUGACUGACGCUCAUGGACGAAAGCCAGGGGAGCGAAAGGGAUUAGAUACCCCUGUAGUCCUGGCCGUAAACGAUGAACACUAGGUGUCGGGGGAAUCGACCCCCUCGGUGUCGUAGCCAACGCGUUAAGGUUCCGCCUGGGGAGUACGCACGCAAGUGUGAAACUCAAAGGAAUUGACGGGGGCCCGCACAAGCGGUGGAGUAUGUGGUUUAAUUCGAUGCAACGCGAAGAACCUUACCAGGGUUUGACAUCCUGCGAACCCCUGAGAAAUCGGGGGGUGCCUUCGGGAGCGCAGAGACAGGUGGUGCAUGGCUGUCGUCAGCUCGUGUCGUGAGAUGUUGGGUUAAGUCCCGCAACGAGCGCAACCCACGUCUUUAGUUGCCAGCAUUCAGUUGGGCACUCUAGAGAGACCGCCGGUGAUAAACCGGAGGAAGGUGUGGAUGACGUCAAGUCAUCAUGCCCCUUACAUCCUGGGCUACACACGUACUACAAUGCUACGGACAAAGGGCAGCAAGCUCGCGAGAGUUAGCAAAUCCCAUAAACCGUGGCUCAGUUCAGAUCGUAGGCUGCAACUCGCCUACGUGAAGGAGGAAUCGCUAGUAAUCGCAGGUCAGCAUACUGCGGUGAAUACGUUCCCGGGCCUUGUACACACCGCCCGUCACACCAUGGAAGUUGGCCAUGCCCGAAGUCGUUACUCCAACCCUUGUGGAGGAGGACGCCGAAGGUGGGGCUGAUGACUGGGGUG